rnacentral:rRNA from 1 species
GAUGAACGCUGGCGGCGUGCCUAACACAUGCAAGUCGAACGGACAGACGAUGAGCUUUCUCCCUUGACGUUAGCGGGGGGCGGGUGAGUGAAACGUGGAUCACAUUCCUCUAUGACGGGGGUGAAUUCGUGGAAACGGUAACACUAACAGCUAAUAUAUUGAACCGCAUAGAUCAGGAGUUCAUGACGCCUUUCCUGUCUCUUUUAGCCGGUUCCGCGUCGCAUUAGCUAGUUGGUAAGGUAACGGCCUACCAAGGCGACGAUGCGUAGCCGACCUGAGAGGAUGAUCAGCCACACUGGAACUGAGACACGGUCCAGACUCCUACGGGAGGCAGCAGUGGGGAAUAUUGCGCAAUGGGCGCAAGCCUGAUGCAGCCACGCCGCGUGAGUGAUGAAGGCCUUCGGGUUGUAAAGCCCUGUUAUUGGGGAAGAACAAAAGUGUGUGAAUCCCUGCACGUCUUGACGGUACCCAAAGAAAAAGCACCGGCUAACUACGUG